rnacentral:rRNA from 1 species
UACGUAGGGGGCAAGCGUUGUUCGGAAUUACUGGGCGUAAAGGGCGCGUAGGCGGCACAGCAAGUCGGGAGUGAAAGCCCCGGGCUCAACCUGGGAACCGCGCUUGAGACUGGCACGCUCGAGUUCGGGAGAGGAUGGUGGAAUUCCCAGUGUAGAGGUGAAAUUCGUAGAUAUUGGGAAGAACACCAGUGGCGAAGGCGGCUAACUGGUCCGGUACUGACGCUGAGGUGCGAAAGCGUGGGGAGCAAACAGG